AACAAACGCUGGCGGCGUGCCUAAUACAUGCAAGUCGAACGGGGUAGCAAUACCUAGUGGCGCACGGGUGAGUAACGCGUGGAUAAUCUGCCUUAGAGGGGGGGAUAACUAGUUGAAAGAUUAGCUAAUACCGCAUAAGACCACAAGAACUGCGGUUCAAGGGGUCAAAGGUUUUUCGCUCUAAGAUGAGUCCGCGUAAGAUUAGCUAGUUGGAGAGGUAAUGGCUCACCAAGGCGACGAUCUUUAACUGGUCUGAGAGGAUGAUCAGUCACACUGGAACUGAGACACGGUCCAGACUCCUACGGGAGGCAGCAGUAGGGAAUAUUGCACAAUGGAGGAAACUCUGAUGCAGCGACGCCGCGUGAGUGAUGAAGGCCUUCGGGUCGUAAAGCUCUGUCGCAGGGGAAUAACACAAUGAAUGUACCCUGUAAGAAAGGAUCGGCUAACUUCGUGCCAGCCGCCGCAGUAAUAC
rnacentral:rRNA from 1 species